rnacentral:lncRNA from 10 species
ACCGCGGGGAGGACCUGCGCUCGCGGGGGCUGCUGCGCUCUGCGCUGGGGCCUCUCGGGCUGGGAAUGCGUGGCCCGGCUUUUGAGGAUUUCCUCGGUCCCCGGGCGGAAAUAGCUGGAAUGGAGGGGCCUCUCGAUUGGAGACUUACUGGUCAAAUAUUUACUUUUGUUGAUCACUGGAAACGCUACCUACCACGCAUUGACUAGGACCACAGUGAGGAGGGAACGCUUUAGAUGAUAGAGUUUUGUUUGGGGGCUUUUUUUUGUUUUGUUUUAUUCCAGGAAUUCAGGAAAUUGCCCCAGAAGUCCGAUUUCUGAUGUGUAAAACCUUUUUUUACAGAAAACCACGACUUCCUGGAAAAGUCUUCACCGUAAAUAUUAAUCUCUUUGGCAUGAAGAGGAAAACACUGCAGCUAAUUUUUCAUGGGAUAACAAAAAUAUAAACUGCAAUUUCUUUUAUUUUUUCCCUUUCGAUGGUCUUUUUAAACGAGGAGUAAAGAUUUCAACGCCAGGUCCAUUUUCCAAAUUUUGUACCAGAACCUUGAGGAUGCUUGUCUCUCGCGCGCUUCUCCGCAGACCGAACCCUCUCCGGAACUCAGAGCUGUUCACCCAAGUCAGCGGAGGAGGCCUCCUGGGACUUGAGCCUGAGGGUGGCGAAGAACCCUAGGCAGAGAUCAUCAACUUGGUACCGAUGAGUGACGCGGAGCUUGAACAUUCCAGCGACUUGCUCCAGGGCCACUCCCAGUUAAGAGGCUGAGUGUUAACUGCAAGAGGCUGAGUGUUAACUACGCCGUUGGCUCCAGGAACCGAACCGGGUUUGGAUACAGACCCAGUCACACCAUCCAUGAAAAGCUGUUUCUAUAAUAUGAAAAAUUGUUAAAUGACGCUUUAGUAAAAGCCAUUUAAAGAUCUUUUCUAAUAAAUUUUUCAUCUUUCCAAACAAUGCCGC